rnacentral:rRNA from 1 species
UCAGCAGUCAAGAAUAUUAGUCAAUGAUCGAAAGAUUGAAGCAGCUAUCAAGAAGGAUGAAUAUAGUAUAUAUAUUAAAGUCCCUUUCUUAAUGAGAAUAAAGAUGUUAGUUAAGAAAGAAGUACCGACCAAGAUUCGUGCCAGCAGUUGCGGUAAUACGAAGGGUACGAACGUUAAUCAUAAUUACUAGGUUUAAAGGAUACGUAGACUGUUUCUUACAAAAGGAAACUUGAGUCAAAUAGAUGGUUCUGUAACUAAUCAAGUACCGAUUAAAUGGGUUGAUAUGAUUAGGAACGCAAAUGGUGAAAGCUAGAAUCAAGGUAAUGACUGACGUUGAGGUAUGAAGGCUAGGGAAGUGAAAAGGAUUAGAUACCCUUAUAAUCCUAGCUGUAAACGAUAUUGAUUAGUAACUAGAGUAUUCUUUAGUUAUUAUGAAGAAAUUCUUAAAUCAAUCACCUGAAUAGUAUAGUCGCAAGACUGAAACUUAAACCAUUUGAGAGUUGUUAUCAGCAGAGUGAAGUUUGUUAUUUAAUUCGAUAAUCCGCA